UCCGGUUUGGCACCGGCAGUCUCCUACGAGUCCCCGCCAUAACGCGCUGGCAACAUAGGAUAGGGGUUGCGCUCGUUGCGGGACUUAACCCAACAUCUCACGACACGAACUGACGACAGCCAUGCAGCACCUCACCAGGUGCCCGAAGGAAGCCCCCUUUCAGGGGCUGUCACCUGAUGUUCGAGCCUGGGUAAGGUUCUUCGCGUUGCAUCGAAUUAAUCCACAUGCUCCACCGCUUGUGCGGGCCCCCGUCAAUUCCUUUGAGUUUCACCCUUGCGAGCGUACUCCCCAGGUGGAGUGCUUAACGCGUUAGCUUAGACAGUGCGCCCCAAUCGGCGCACCAUCGAGCACUCAUCGUUUACGGCGUGGACUAC
rnacentral:misc_RNA from 1 species